rnacentral:rRNA from 1 species
GCUAGCUACAGGCUUAACACAUGCAAGUCGAGGGGCAGCAUGGUCUUAGCUUGCUAAGGCCGAUGGCGACCGGCGCACGGGUGAGUAACACGUAUCCAACCUGCCGUCUACUCUUGGACAGCCUUCUGAAAGGAAGAUUAAUACAAGAUGGCAUCAUGAGUCCGCAUGUUCACAUGAUUAAAGGUAUUCCGGUAGACGAUGGGGAUGCGUUCCAUUAGAUAGUAGGCGGGGUAACGGCCCACCUAGUCUUCGAUGGAUAGGGGUUCUGAGAGGAAGGUCCCCCACAUUGGAACUGAGACACGGUCCAAACUCCUACGGGAGGCAGCAGUGAGGAAUUUUGGUCAAUGGGCGAGAGCCUGAACCAGCCAAGUAGCGUGAAGGAUGACUGCCCUAUGGGUUGUAAACUUCUUUUAUAAAGGAAUAAAGUCGGGUAUGGAUACCCGUUUGCAUGUACUUUAUGAAUAAGGAUCGGCUAACUCCGUGCCAGCAGCCGCGGUAAUACGGAGGAUCCGAGCGUUAUCCGGAUUUAUUGGGUUUAAAGGGAGCGUAGAUGGAUGUUUAAGUCAGUUGUGAAAGUUUGCGGCUCAACCGUAAAAUUGCAGUUGAUACUGGAUAUCUUGAGUGCAGUUGAGGCAGGCGGAAUUCGUGGUGUAGCGGUGAAAUGCUUAGAUAUCACGAAGAACUCCGAUUGCGAAGGCAGCCUGCUAAGCUGCAACUGACAUUGAGGCUCGAAAGUGUGGGUAUCAAACAGGAUUAGAUACCCUGGUAGUCCACACGGUAAACGAUGAAUACUCACUGUUUGCGAUAUACUGCAAGCGGCCAAGCGAAAGCGUUAAGUACUCCACCUGGGGAGUACGCCGGCAACGGUGAAACUCAAAGGAAUUGACGGGGGCCCGCACAAGCGGAGGAACAUGUGGUUUAAUUCGAUGAUACGCGAGGAACCUUACCCGGGCUUAAAUUGCAGAUGAAUUACGGUGAAAGCCGUAAGCCGCAAGGCAUCUGUGAAGGUGCUGCAUGGUUGUCGUCAGCUCGUGCCGUGAGGUGUCGGCUUAAGUGUCAUAACGAGCGCAACCCUUGUUGUCAGUUACUAACAGGUUCCGCUGAGGACUCUGACAAGACUGCCAUCGUAAGAUGUGAGGAAGGUGGGGAUGACGUCAAAUCAGCACGGCCCUUACGUCCGGGGCUACACACGUGUUACAAUGGGGGGUACAGAGGGCCGCUACCACGCGAGUGGAUGCCAAUCCCCAAAACCUCUCUCAGUUCGGACUGGAGUCUGCAACCCGACUCCACGAAGCUGGAUUCGCUAGUAAUCGCGCAUCAGCCACGGCGCGGUGAAUACGUUCCCGGGCCUUGUACACACCGCCCGUCAAGCCAUGGGAGCCGGGGGUACCUGAAGUGCGUAACCGCGAGGAGCGCCCUAGGGUAAAACUGGUGACUGGGGC